GUCAUAAUUACAUCUUUAGAUAUGCCGACAACAUAUACUAACGACAAACGAAUACGAUAAUAGAAAUGUGUAUGAAACUUCAUUUAUUAAAAUUGAUUUUAAGGUUUCAAAGAAUAUUGUCGUAGACAUAAGGAUUGAUAUGAUAUAAAGAUCAUCUUUGUUUCUAAAUGAAAGAAAACUUAUUUUAAAAUUUGUCUUAUAUUUCAAAAGUACUGGAAUAGUGAUAUACGAAACACGACGGAGCAAACAUAAUAACAAUGAAUACAUACAAUCAGUUAACUAUACUAAUGGGAAGAAGCAGAUUUUAACUUACAAUUAGCUUAAAUUUUUGCAAAUCAUGUUUAUAUAAUACAUAAGUAGCAUGUAUUACUUUAAUUACUUGUUUAGUUCAUGGAUAAUGCUAAACGAGGUUUGUUUUUCCUGUCUACAAAAUUUCAUACAUAUUACACCAAAUGAAAGUAAAAUAAGUUCAAGUAAGUUUAUUAUUACUAAAUAUAUUAAUAACAAUACUGUCGAUGGAAAAGAAAUAUUGCAGUGAUAAAUUAAAGCGAGGAUACUGAUUGACCUAGAUGCACCUAAAGCUAUAUGUUUAUUAAACUAAAAUGGAAAAAUCUUAAAUUUCAAGUCCUCUAUUUCAAAAUCCAUUUUAAAGUCUGGCUAAUUCUCUGAUUUCGCUAUAUCUUUUUCACCAACAAGAUAUUUAUAAUUAUCAAAAUGCAGUCAAGAGAUUAAAAGAAUUCCAUACACAUGGUGCACAAACAUACGCGCAUAAAUCUAUAUAUUAUUAUCGCACCUUUUUUAAGCUUAAGUAAACGAUCAAUUUAGAUCUCUUUUCUUCAAUUAGACGAUCAUUUAUUCAUACACUAUGUUCAACAGUAAUUAUUAUAUUUAUGAACUAGAAGGAUAAAUAAUAAAUCACGAACGCAUAACAAAAUAUUGUUCGCGCUUUACAGGCAAUGUACAAGGAUGUCGUCGUAUUAAAACUUUAUAAAUACGAAAAAUAGCAGAAUAUUAAAGCUGUACGAUAUUACUAUCAUUGCAGAUGUGUAAGUUCGUAGAAGGUUCUCUCGUGCUACCCCUAACCAAAGCUUCGUGGUACUCAACAAAAGUUUUCUUUGACAACGUUUACCGUGUAUCGAUGUUAUUUGUUACUAAAAUACCAGAUCUCUAAAAUUCGGAUUUACAUUGAUAAAUACAAACGUAGUACAUUAACUUUUGCUCCUUAGAUUUUAUAACUCUAAGUUGUUGUAAUCAUAUAUGGAAAUUCAACAGAAUUAAAACGAUUUCAUACAAUCUUUGAUCAACAGCUGAAUACUCGCUUACCAAAAUUUGACUACUGGCAGUAUUGUUGGAAGUACGUCGAUUGAAAGAAGCUAAUAAUAAGACCGUCCUAAUGACAUUUUCUUUAUAUUUUUAUCAACUUGGUACUCGUUGUCAAUAUACUCAUUGAGUCGCUCGAUUAUAGGCAAUUAGAAGCUAUUUUCGAUUCAUAAUAUUGCUUUUUUCACCUCGAUUUUUUCAAUUAUAAUCGUAUUACAUUAAAUUUUAACAUAAUGAUCAAUGUACCUAUACUAUUGAUUGAAACUAUGAAGUAAAUCCAAUUUAAAAAAAGCAUCGUUUUUUGACAAAUUUACGAUAUUAUUUGCUACGUAUCUAAGAACGAAAUGUAACCUUGUUGGUAUAUUUAAUUUUCUUGAGCACUAUGAUUUUAUUUGAUAAUAACUACUUUCGCUCAAGCAAAAAUAAAAAUAUCAAAUAAAUCGUAACAUCUAGAAAAUUGAAGAAAGAGUUUUAACGAUUACUGUUAACUUUUGUUUGCAUAGAAAUAAAAUCAAUGAGCAAAUAAAAUCUCCGUGUAUCGUAGCAUAUAUAUAUUCACGUAUAGAUCCGUGAUGUAUCUGUUUGUUCGCAAAUCAUGAAACAAGUAUUCAGUAUACUUUCGAGACCCGGAAGAUAUGUAUGCAUAUGUAUACAUAAGGAGCAAGCAAUUAGGCAUGUUUCUCCUUCUAUUAGGUAUACUUAUUGUUAGAUAUUGAAUAUAUAUUAACCCUUCGUAGAUAAACAUCUCUUUUUACAAUCUGUAGGGCCGUUUAACUAGGUCGUUCAUAUUCAAGUUAAAUUUCCUAACCAAUCUAUUCUUUCAAAAAAAUUUUUUAAAUUUCACAAUUACUUAUCAAUGUUUCUAUUACGCUAUACAAAUUGUUUUCGUCAAGCUAAACACUUGAAAAAUUUGUCAAUAAAAAUAAAAAUUUGGAGGAGCUACAACGACUCAGUUUCCCAACGAAGGGUUAAUUUUACAAAAAGAUAUCAUCUAAUAUUUAUAAGAAAAAGCCUUAUAUAUCAAUAACUUUCAGUUCCAAACUAACUCUAAGAAACUCAUUGAAUUUAUGGUAAACGUUGAUGUUUUAAGUGCGGACGAUACACUCAAUAAAAAUUUCGUCAACGAAGCAUACAAUAUAAUUGUGAAGAAUUUACGUAUAUCAGACCUCUUCAUCGCGUGUGCCGAUGAGCUAUGGAAUUCUAGAUCGUGUUUUAGUGUAGAGGAACACUGGACAUAAAAUCUCAACGGAAAUACUGGAUUGCGAAAACUUUAAAGUAAUCUAUCUAUUCAAAUAUUCUCAUACAAACCAUGAGCCAAGAUAUAAUAGCCAAGCUAAAAAAACUUUAUCACCAUAAAACAUUACGAAAAGCUACAAUAUAUGGCGGAAUGGACGAAUUCCAUGCACGUUAUUUAAUCAAAGAUUGUAUAGAAUUGUUAGACGAGUCAUGGACAGAGGUAACAGUAAAAAAUAUUAGAGAUGCUUGGAGAGAGAUUAUACCGCACCAAUAUUUACCAUUGUGAUCUGCAACAUGAUAUAAGCGUUAUUACUGGUGAAAGAUUCUUAGCAGAGGAAGUAAUAUAAUUUAUGUCAGACUGUCAAAAAGCUGAAAGUAGAAGCGUAUUUGUAAAGGAGGAAAAGGAAGACCAGUAUGAAAAUGCAAUAGAAGAACAGUACAAAAUCAAAGAAUAUAAAGAAAUCGGAGCUGUAUAAUAAUAGAAACGAUGAUCUGGAGUAUUUAUUUCAACGUUUACAUGUAUAUGUAUUAAGGGAAGCGCCUUUUAUUCAACGAAUAUUUCAAGUUCUUAAAAAUCAUUUUUUAGGUACAAAUAAGUAGAAUAAGAACAUUGACAGAAGAAAUUGUAAAUACAUAAGUUUUUGCACACUAUUUACUUGAAAAUUAAUACCAGAAACUACGCAACAAUCUUAUAUUAUACCUUAAUUCAUUCCGCAAUUUUUUAAAUAAACCUUAUAAAUUAUACCUAUC